rnacentral:lncRNA from 1 species
GAGAGAGAAAGAGAGAGUUACCCCAUUUGUGUGGAAGCUAUUGGAAGAGAAUUCAACUACAAAGGAACCCUAGGGUGAGUGAUGAUCUAAGCUUGAUUUUUAGCUGUGGAUAAUGGCUAGUGAUUUAGAUUAAGAGCUGUUUUAUUGUUGAAGAUGUUCAUUCAUUUUAUAGCGAUUUAGAUAGUGAACAUAGAUAGCCAUUUAAAGUGGCAAUUGAAAGCUAGCUAAAAGAUAGCUUUUAGGGUUUAUAGUAUGUGAAUUGACCUAUUGCUUAUGCUAACGUGAUUCUAGGUUCUCACGAAGCCCUAUCAUCCCAAUUGGAUCAUUAGGGGAAUUAGAGUUAGCUAAAGGCUCAACAAUAUACCAGUGAGUGGACUUGCAUUUCGAACUUGUUUUGGGGAAUAUGAAUGAUUUGUCCAACUUGUCUUUGAAAAUGUACCUUCAGAACAAGCCUUUGAUGAAGUAAUUUUAUAUUGUGAAAAUGUGCUAUACAAUGGGUUAUGUGUUAUCAAAAUAUGAUAAUAUGCAAGAUAUGCAUUGGGUGCUUAUUUGUAUAUUGAUGUGGACCCGGCUAUGUGCGAGUAGGAUUGCACAUAAGCCGUUGUUGACC